rnacentral:rRNA from 1 species
AUUGAACGCUGGCGGAAUGCUUUACACAUGCAAGUCGAACGAUGAAGUCUAGCUUGCUAGACGGAUUAGUGGCGAACGGGUGAGUAAUAUAUCGGAACGUAUCCAAUAAUGGGGGAUAACUAGUCGAAAGAUUGGCUAAUACCGCAUACGUCCUACGGGAGAAAGCUGGGGAUCGUAAGACCUGGCGUUAAUGGAGCGGCCGAUAUCUGAUUAGCUAGUUGGUGAGGUAAAGGCUCACCAAGGCGACGAUCAGUAGCUGGUCUGAGAGGACGACCAGCCACACUGGAACUGAGACACGGUCCAGACUCCUACGGGAGGCAGCAGUGGGGAAUUUUGGACAAUGGGCGAAAGCCUGAUCCAGCCAUUCCGCGUGAGUGAAGAAGGCCUUCGGGUUGUAAAGCUCUUUCGCAAGGGAAGAACACUUACUUAAUAACACUAAGUGAGGUUGACGGUACCUUGAUAAGAAGCACCGGCUAACUACGUGCCAGCCGCCGCGGUAAGAC